CUGUGCCAGGCCUGGGCUUGUGGCCAGGGCUGGGGGCUGUGCCAAGCCGGCCUUUGGCCUGGGGGCUCUUGGGGAGGGCGCAGGGAGGAGUCCCGGCAGGAUAAAGGUGCUCCUCACCUGGGGCAGCCUCAGCCAGCGCUCCCCACUCACUGGCAGAGGAGGAAGAGGAAGAUGAAGGUGGCUGUGCUCGCCGUGGCCCUGCUCUUCUCCAUCCUGCUGUGCCCCCCGGCACAGGCCAAGGCGCUGCUGCAAGGAGUCCAAGAUGAUGUCCAGGAGCUGGAUUUGGCCAACGUUGGGAUCCUGGAGACGCCUCUGCCCAGCGUGAGAGCGGAGCUGAAAGCCCUUCUGCGGCAGAAGCGCCUGGCUGCCUCUCUGGAAGCCUUGG